rnacentral:misc_RNA from 1 species
AAGUCGUAACAAGGUUUCCGUAGGUGAACCUGCGGAAGGAUCAUUAACACGUAUCCAAACGUUAAACCCCCCUGUGAACCUUCAGUGUACUCGUACGUCCGUUAGAAAAAGCAGCAAUCCCUGGUAAACGGCCGACGACCGGGUCACUGGGCGCAAGCCCCCCUAUAACAAACGCUGCUAAUCGCGGCCGCGAUAAUACGCAGUCGACCAAAAACCGAACAACUGUUAACAAUGGAUAUCUUGGUUCUC